rnacentral:pre_miRNA from 1 species
GGGUGGAGGCCGGAUCCUGGGCUGUGUCCCGACGCCCUGUGCUCCUGGGCCUGCGCUGUUGGAUUCAAGCAGCCCCCUCCGCGGAGCCGCCG